rnacentral:misc_RNA from 1 species
UUUCCGUAGGUGAACCUGCGGAAGGAUCAUUACAGAGUUCAUGCCCUCACGGGUAGAUCUCCCACCCUUGAAUAUUAUACCUUAGUUGCUUUGGCAGGCCGUGGAAACACCAUGGGCUCCGGCUUAUGCGUGCCUGCCAGAGGAAACAAACUCUGUUUUUAGUGAUGUCUGAGUACUAUAUAAUAGUUAAAACUUUCAACAACGGAUCUCUUGGUUCUG